rnacentral:rRNA from 1 species
GGCGGACGGGUGAGUAAUGCUUGGGAACUUGCCUUUGCGAGGGGGAUAACUAUUGGAAACGAUGGCUAAUACCGCAUAAUGUUUUCGAACCAAAGUGGGCUUAGGCUCACGCGCAAAGAGAGGCCCAAGUGAGAUUAGCUAGUUGGUAAGGUAAAGGCUUACCAAGGCGACGAUCUCUAGCUGUUCUGAGAGGAAGAUCAGCCACACUGGGACUGAGACACGGCCCAGACUCCUACGGGAGGCAGCAGUGGGGAAUAUUGCACAAUGGGGGGAACCCUGAUGCAGCCAUGCCGCGUGUGUGAAGAAGGCCUUCGGGUUGUAAAGCACUUUCAGUGGUGAGGAAAAGUUAGUAGUUAAUACCUGCUAGCCGUGACGUUAACCACAGAAGAAGCACCGGCUAACUCCGUGCCAGCAGCCGCGGUAAUACGGAGGGUGCGAGCGUUAAUCGGAAUUACUGGGCGUAAAGCGCACGCAGGCGGUUUGUUAAGCUAGAUGUGAAAGCCCCGCGCUUAACGUGGGAUGGUCAUUUAGAACUGGCAGACUAGAGUCUUGGAGAGGGGAGUGGAAUUUCUGGUGUAGCGGUGAAAUGCGUAGAGAUCAGAAGGAACAUCAAUGGCGAAGGCAGCUCUCUGGCCAAAGACUGACGCUCAUGUGCGAAAGUGUGGGUAGCGAACAGGGAUUUAGAUACCCUGGUAGUCCACACCGUAAACGCUGUCUACUAGCUGUAUGUGUAUUUAAUACGUGUGUAGCG